AGUCAAGCAAGUAAGGGCACAGGGCGGAUGCCUUGGCUCCGGGAAGCGACGAAGGACGUGGUAAGCUGCGAUAAGCUUCGGAGAGGCGCAAACAGCCUUUGAUCCGGAGAUUUCCGAAUGGGGUAACCCGGCAGAGUUUAUGCUCUGUCACCGCCGGCUGAAUCAAAUAGGCCGGUUGGAGCGAACGCGGGGAACUGAAACAUCUCAGUACCCGCAGGAAAAGAAAUCAACCGAGAUUCCCUGAGUAGCGGCGAGCGAAAGGGGAAGAGCCCAAACCGGCCGGUACGCCGGCCGGGGUUGUAGGGCUGCGGAACAAAGGGACUGGAUGGGAUAGGAGAACGGUUCUGAAAAGGCCGGCUGUAAAGGGUUAUAGCCCCGUAUCCGAAAUCUUUAAUCCUACCCGACUGCAGUUCCUGAGUAGCUCGGGGCACGUGGAACCCUGAGUGAAGCUGGGUGGACCAUCAUCCAAGGCUAAAUAUUCCCCGGAGACCGAUAGUGAACCAGUACCGUGAGGGAAAGGUGAAAAGCACCCCGCCAAGGGGAGUGAAACAGAUCCUGAAACCCUGUGCCUAUAAGCAGUGGGAGCCUUUUACCUGAAGCUUGCUUCGGGUGUGGGGUGACCGCGUGCCUUUUGCAUAAUGAGCCAACGAGUUAUGGUUUCAAGCAAGGUUAAGCUAUUCAGUGGAGCCGCAGCGAAAGCGAGUCUGAACAAGGCGAUUUAAGUUUGAGGCCAUAGACCCGAAACCGAGUGAUCUAUCCCUGUCCAGGUUGAAGCCUGGGUAAGACCAGGUGGAGGACCGAACCAGUGUACCUUAAAAAGUGCUUGGAUGAGGUG
rnacentral:rRNA from 1 species